GACGAACGCUGGCGGCGUGCCUAAUACAUGCAAGUCGAACGCUUCUUUCCUCCCGAGUGCUUGCACUCAAUUGGAAAGAGGAGUGGCGGACGGGUGAGUAACACGUGGGUAACCUACCCAUCAGAGGGGGAUAACACUUGGAAACAGGUGCUAAUACCGCAUAACAGUUUAUGCCGCAUGGCAUAAGAGUGAAAGGCGCUUUCGGGUGUCGCUGAUGGAUGGACCCGCGGUGCAUUAGCUAGUUGGUGAGGUAACGGCUCACCAAGGCCACGAUGCAUAGCCGACCUGAGAGGGUGAUCGGCCACACUGGGACUGAGACACGGCCCAGACUCCUACGGGAGGCAGCAGUAGGGAAUCUUCGGCAAUGGACGAAAGUCUGACCGAGCAACGCCGCGUGAGUGAAGAAGGUUUUCGGAUCGUAAAACUCUGUUGUUAGAGAAGAACAAGGACGUUAGUAACUGAACGUCCCCUGACGGUAUCUAACCAGAAAGCCACGGCUAGCCACGUG
rnacentral:rRNA from 1 species